CUGAUUUCGGGUAGAAUCCAUGGGCAGAGAAUAUUAAUGAUCUUUGUCACAACUCAGAUUUCAAAUUUUGAGUUGAAAUCCAGAUUUCGGGUCCGUCCCAAGUUCUCAAAACCUAGCUACUUGGGGUUCUACCCUCAAUUCUUAUUCUCAAAGAGGGUUCAAAACCUCCCAAAAAUCUAACUCUCUUUUAAUUUUUCUUCACUGGCUCAAAGUAAAAUGUUCAAAUCGUUGGUGAAAGCUGGAGAAUCGCAACUUGUCGUUGUUCAACAACAGUUGCCUUUGCAUUAUGUGUAUAUCGACUCAGCCCUCCUCUCAACCGAACAUAAACAAUAGAGUUCGGGUUCGAAGCCCAAAUGGUCUAGAAGUAUCCGCUAAACGAGAAGCAACAGCAGAAAUGGACUAUGAGCCCAAUUAGCUAAACUCUUCUUCACUCUAAUUUGUUUUUGCGUAUUUGUGGAUUGUAUUACUUGACUAACUCUUUACUUGUUUUCUUUUCUUAAUCUGGUUGAAUUCUCAGAGCA